rnacentral:snoRNA from 1 species
AUCCUUUUGCAGUUCAUAAGUGUGAUGAUUGGGUGUUACGCCUCUGUGUGACAUGAGCCUCCCUCAAACCUUGUUACCACUCGGCACAUUACCCGUCUGACG